rnacentral:rRNA from 1 species
GAUACUGUUAACUUGUAGUGAUGAAAGAGUGUAAGUGUGAAAGAAUGAGAUUGAUAUUACCAUUGUGCGUUUUCCAAAGAUUCUUCACUACACAAAAACCUUAGAUUUACCACAAGAAGGGCAUUUGGGAUAAGGGAAAGAGAAGUUUUUGCGUUUGUGAGAAUGGGAAAGUUUGAAAGAAUGAUGGCAGAGUUUGCAAAGGA